AAUGAGUUACGGACACGGCUCCUCGUUUUCACCCGAGGUCCGAAAAUUCCUAACAUUUAUGUGGAGUACAACGGGGUGACUACCAGAAGGCAUCCUUCUUUUCUUCGCACAGCUGGCUGGGGAGAUAUCUGGAGACAUGGUGAAAUCAGUGAAAAUUUUUAAGGCUCUUCAUCUGCCAACUCAGGAAACAAACCAGCAAUAGGAAAGUUGGUCUCCAAAAUAAACUGCUUCAUACUGCAUCUCUCCCUUCUUCACUCUAUGACACCAUGAGACAGGACCCAAGACUGGACUUGGCUGGAGCAGUGAGUCUCCAAAGCAAAAGGAGAUCACACAGGAGAAAAAGGUGAGGAGCUGUUCUUUUUAUCCACUUUGCUGAACAGGUAGAGCAGGAAGAGAUGCCAUGGAGAGAAUCAGACACACGGAAGUAACUCCACUCAAUGUUUUCUGAGGAUCCCUGGUCAUGCAGCUGAAAGCCACCGUGGGAAGGGCAGAUGAAAAAUAUCAGGACAAAAACCAAUAAGGGACAUGGACAAAGCCACAAGCCUUUGGAAAAGAGUCUGUUUAAGGAACAGCUGUCCCAGAAGGAGAUUGGUGUGCUCCCCAGGCAGCUAUAAAAGGGUGGAAAAGGGAGGAGCUAUACCUCUGUCAACCCUCCUCCCUGCAGCCACUGCUAAAUCACAGAGGAGACAGGGCUGGAACGACUUCUCACAGUUUCAAUGUGCCAGUACUGGAUUAAAAGGUGCAGAUGUGCUCUAAUAAACUCACAUCUGUAAUGCAUUUAUGUGUCUGUUUGGAGAUAUGGAUUUCAUACAGCUACUCUGUCAAGAUUAUGCCAAAACAAUGUGUGAAGAGCCAAGUGAUGUCUUGUAACAGAGUAAGUGAAACGAAUACUUCAGUGAAUCGUGUUUCUCGCCCCUACUCCAAGAGCCUGAGAUUGUCUCGGAUGUUAUAACAACUGCUGUGGCCCCUGAAGUUCCAGGCAGAAUACAGAUAAAGCUGAAAAGGGGGAAUGGAGAAACAAAGGGAGAGAAGCAGAGAAUUGAAUUAGGGGCAGAAACUCUCAGGUUACUGAAAUGCAGUUAAAAGACAGGAUUGGACAAAGCCAGUGGGCGCAUAAUAAAAGCUGCUUUCAUAAUCACCUAACGUCUCAAGAGAUGAGAAUUAGAAGCCAAAGUAAUAAAUUGCCAUGGCUCUCAUUUUGUUUUUGCUCCUAUUAAUUCUCUUGCUGCAUCCAUUAUAUUCAGUGAAUAGCCAGUACAUAAAAUUCUUAAAUCCAUAGGAAAGCUGGAGGCCAGAAUGUAGAGUCCUGGCUUCUUUCCACCCUGAAAGGAUUCAGGAAUUCUGCCUCCAAUAUACACAACUGCCUCUUCCAAGUGUCUGUCUCACACUGGAGUUGUCACCUGUAUCACACAAGCUGAGACAAAACUCACAGCAAAACCAUGGGAUGAGAAACCACCAUGUGUCACUACCAAUUUUACCUAAACCCUACCCAGCUCCUCCAGGCACAGGGUCAUCCUGAGCUGUUUCGCUCUUUUUUUUCUCCCUGUCUCCACCCUUAUCAAUCCACCCAUUGUUUUAGUGUUUCUAGCCAGCAGCAAAGAAGACACAAAUUAAAACAACAGCAACAAACCCACAACAAACCCACAAGGAUUAGAGUUUGGGUUACAAUCCCUUUUGGCUGGACACUGCAACUCAAAACCAGCUGAUUCUCCACUAUGUUGAUUUGUCACUUUUCCCCCAAAACAUCACAGUCACAAACUAGGAAAAUUCUCAGACUAAAUCAAGGCUUUCCAUAUAUCAUCAAAUAGAAGAACAUGUUGCCAUAGAUCAACCUUUUAACUUACUUGUUGUAAAAAAAAUGUUUUUUGGCAUGUCGUCUCUGGGCAUUUGCUCCUGCCUGGUAGUUCCUGCAGUCCAACAAAUUCAGAGCCAGUUUUAUCCAAAUCAGAUCCAUUUUUACUGCUGCAUACUGAACUAUCCUGAUUAAAUCUGCAUCUUCCUUGGCCCCUGGUGACAAGGAAGCCACACCCAUGGGAAAUUACAGGCAGGACUAACUCACCUACUCACCAUCUCCUGUGCACUGACAAAUCAAGUCAGCUGUACCAGAUCGGAGGGAUAAAUGGGGAAAGCCAUCAUCCAUGAAAGGUGCUCAGAGUGCUCCCAACCACCCAGCCAAGGGCACAACAUGUUCCUCUGUCUGCAGAGCAGCAGGUCAUAGCACAAGGUCUGUGGUCUGUGCAGCCAUGUGUACUUAGGGGAGGAUCAUGGCUUGGCAUGCUAAGCAGCACUUUUGGGAGUUGUGGAUCUUUUUAUUUUCUGAACAAUUUCUGGGAAACAGCUCUCCCAACACUGAUACAUGAGAUAUGGUGAAGCCUAUGCUUCUGUCAGGUUGCUCUUCCAAACAGACAAUGUGGAGAAGACGGCAGAUGGGGAAAGACAAAUGCAUGGGGACAUGAUGUGUAAGAACAGUGAAAUCACAUACCUUCAGGGAUGCACUGUCCAAGAACA